AUUGAACGCUGGCGGCAGGCCUAACACAUGCAAGUCGAACGCGCGUCGGACGGGGGUGUAAUGUAUGGGGACUGCCCGAUAGAGGGGGAUAACUACUGGAAACGGUAUCUAUUACCGCGUACUAUCUGCUAACCCAUAUGGGAGUGGCUAGUAGGUGUGGUAAUGGCUCACCCAGGCGACGAUCCCUAGCUGGUCUGAGAGGAUGAUCAGCCACACUGGGACUGAGACACGGCCCAGACUCCUACGGAGGCAGCAGUGGGGAAUAUUGCACAAUGGGCGCAAGCCUGAUGCAGCCAUGCCGCGUGUAUGAAGAAGGCCCUAGGGUUGUAAAGUACUUUCAGUGGGGAGGCGUUACCGGCAGAAGAAGCACCGGCUAACUCCGUGCCAGCAGCCGCGGUAAUUC
rnacentral:rRNA from 1 species